rnacentral:rRNA from 1 species
CUGGAGGUAUCAGAAGUGCGAAUGCUGACAUAAGUAACGAUAAAGCGGGUGAAAAGCCCGCUCGCCGGAAGACCAAGGGUUCCUGUCCAACGUUAAUCGGGGCAGGGUGAGUCGACCCCUAAGGCGAGGCCGAAAGGCGUAGUCGAUGGGAAACAGGUUAAUAUUCCUGUACUUGGUGUUACUGCGAAGGGGGGACGGAGAAGGCUAUGUUGGCCGGGCGACGGUUGUCCCGGUUUAAGCGUGUAGGCUGGUUUUCCAGGCAAAUCCGGAAAAUCAAGGCUGAGGCGUGAUGACGAGGCACUACGGUGCUGAAGCAACAAAUGCCCUGCUUCCAGGAAAAGCCUCUAAGCAUCAGGUAACAUCAAAUCGUACCCCAAACCGACACAGGUGGUCAGGUAGAGAAUACCAAGGCGCUUGAGAGAACUCGGGUGAAGGAACUAGGCAAAAUGGUGCCGUAACUUCGGGAGAAGGCACGCUGAUAUGUAGGUGAAGUCCCUCGCGGAUGGAGCUGAAAUCAGUCGAAGAUACCAGCUGGCUGCAACUGUUUAUUAAAAACACAGCACUGUGCAAACACGAAAGUGGACGUAUACGGUGUGACGCCUGCCCGGUGCCGGAAGGUUAAUUGAUGGGGUUAGCCGCAAGGCGAAGCUCUUGAUCGAAGCCCCGGUAAACGGCG